rnacentral:rRNA from 1 species
UGGGGAAUUUUGGACAAUGGGCGAAAGCCUGAUCCAGCAAUGCCGCGUGUGUGAAGAAGGCCUUCGGGUUGUAAAGCACUUUUGUCCGGAAAGAAAUCCUUGGCUCUAAUACAGUCGGGGGAUGACGGUACCGGAAGAAUAAGCACCGGCUAACUACGUGCCAGCAGCCGCGGUAAUACGUAGGGUGCAAGCGUUAAUCGGAAUUACUGGGCGUAAAGCGUGCGCAGGCGGUUUGCUAAGACCGAUGUGAAAUCCCCGGGCUCAACCUGGGAACUGCAUUGGUGACUGGCAGGCUAGAGUAUGGCAGAGGGGGGUAGAAUUCCACGUGUAGCAGUGAAAUGCGUAGAGAUGUGGAGGAAUACCGAUGGCGAAGGCAGCCCCCUGGGCCAAUACUGACGCUCAUGCACGAAAGCGUGGGGAGCAAACAGGAUUAGAUACCCUGGUAGUCCACGCCCUAAACGAUGUCAACUAGUCGUUGGGGAUUCAUUUCCUUAGUAACGUAGCUAACGCGUGAAGUUGACCGCCUGGGGAGUACGGUCGCAAGAUUAAAACUCAAAUGAAUUGACGGGGUCA